CACAAAUAGUUACUAAAUUAAACCCUUAAAAGAGUUUGGAAGCCUAAUGCUUCUGACCAAGGCCAGAUUGACAUGUGAUGGCAGGGUGGUGAUGGAAGCUCCCUGCAUCGUGGAGGGAGGGAGGGGGGAGAAGGUUCACGGCAAAUGGCCACCCCAAGAAUAAAGAAUGUGUUGUUUGGACAGCAGCGUAACAAACCCUGCCUCUCUGCGCCGCGGCCUGCUCCUCGUUUGUCUUCUUUGCUUCGACUGUUUCAUUGCGUUCUGUUAAAUCCAACAGUCAUCCCCAUUACCCACUGUCUGUUCCCCCCUCCCUUUAUUCUCACUACCCCACCCAUCCCCGUCACCCGGGGUCUUUUUUCACGCGUUUUCACCCCACCCUCUGAUUGGUCGCUUCUCCCUGUGUCUCAUUAAGCCGCAGCCUCUCAAGGCGUGGCGUUUCCUAAUAACUGGUUUUAAUUAUCGGUUGGACAUUUUUUUGGACAGGCCCUGUGUGAACACCUGCCCGUGUGCCCAUUCGUCAUAAAGACCCUGUAAAUUAGUCGGUGCUGAGUGCAGUUCUGUUCCGUUCCAGUUUCCAGUAAGCUGAUCCUGCUGGCAAGGGUUAGUGGGGAGACUUCCUUUUCUGGAAUGACCUGAUGCGCCGUGUUGAUGAUCUUUCCCCCCCCCUCUCUCGCUCCCCGUCCCUCUGCUUGGACUCAUCCAGUCAGGAGAGUGAAGGGAAUGCACGGAUCACUUCUACUUCUUUAUCUCAUUCUGGAUCCCUUUUCCCACACUACUCCACUUUCUAUCCUCAGCUUCUAAACCUCCUCCGUCUCUACCUCCGUACUCUCCGCCUUCCUGUAUCUGAGCGCCGGAGAGAGUCGCCAAUUGUGCAAAGCAGAGGCAGCAAGUGGGAGUGGACCUCAGCAAGGAAGCGUGCCUGCAAGUGUGUGAGAGAAAAGGAGGAGGAGGAGGAGGAGGAGAAGGAGGUGGUGGUGGUGGAAAGCAUCAGCACAGUCCUCCCAGUUUCUUCGAGCUGUCUACAUGGAGAGAUCCUUCUCAAUGGACGUUUUAUGAAGCAGCUCUGGGCGCUCAAUUCCACAAGCUCCUACAUGCUGGAUUUUAAAAACAGUGAGGAGAGGAGAGGAACUGGGGGAGAGCUCUGAAUAUGAGUGAGGAGGCUAAGGAGAAAACAGGAGGCGGGAAAGCAGCCCAUCGCAAAAAGAAAGGCAAAAAGUGAACCAUCCAGGCAGAAAGGCUCCAGCUCCUCUGUUCUUUGUCUUGGGUGGAAAAACCCUGCCAGAGACAGAGGGCCUGCGUCUGGAGGACUGGUGAAAUAAGCCGUUCUGUGACAGCGCCUUCAAAGAGGAACGGCACAUCACAUCCCCCAGAUAUUAGCAGGGCACUGGCGAAUGUGCUGACGGGAAGUCUGCGUUUGAGUGAGCGUGUGUGUGCGUGGAGGACAGAGCACGCAAAGUGCUGCUUUUGUUUUUGCAGAUUACACUAAUGGACUUGGCACGGAUCAAUUCUUUAAAAAGGUUACGCCUCAUGCACUCCUGGAGAGUCUGCAGAAGGAAAUAAUGUUUAAAUACUGUAAUUGGGGCAGUAAAUAGGCCAGUAUUUAAUCACAUGUUGAUAUUCACUUUAGUAAAAAGCUAAAUUGUCAGAUAUGGUAUGAAUAUUAAUAGUUUUUGUGGUCAAAAUACUUUCUUUCACUUGCUUAUGUCAAGAUAAUUUGCCCACAUUUUUAAAAAGUAAUAUAUUAACCUUAAAAACUGAUUAAAAAUGUGGUAACACUGAUCUGUCUCCAGACCUCAAAUAAAACCCUUUAAGUGCACACAUGUUCACUCAUGCUUUAUUGGCUUAUUUUGUAUUAAGUAAACACAAAUGUGUUCCCUCAGGUUUUCUGUUAGUAUGCAUGUGUGUGGGCGGGUGUGUUCCUGCGCUGUGGCGUGCAUGUGUGUUCGGGUAGGCGUCUCAGAGCUCGGGCACAUCUGCACGCCCUGGGGAGAGGGCAGAGAGAUCAGCCUGUCAGAGCUCCAUCACUUUUAGAUGAACUCUUUCUGUUCAUAUCUCUCCACUAAGGGAAGGAAUGAGGGAUGAGGUGAAAAAAGAAGGAGAGACAGCAUUAAAGAGGGGAGGGGGGUGAGGUAUGCGAUGGAGAGAGAGGAGGUGUGAUUGAAGAUGGAGAAGUGAGAGGGAGGUGUGAGCUGGGCAUAGGCUGAAUGGUUUAAAAUGUGUGUUUUUUCAUCAGUUGUGUUAGUAAUGACAUUUUUUUUUAAAUAUGUAUAAAAAAACAUUUUUUGUGUUUUUUGUAAUAAAGGCGAGACAGAUCAUGUGUCAGUGUGUCAGUUUGCGACUGUUUGACCAAUUAUUCCAGAUUUUCCUAAUUUUAAGAGAUUUUUUUGAGAGGGACCUGGUUGCAGGCAAGAUGGCGGAUAAACACAAUUUUAAGAUCAUCAUUAGCCAGAAGCAGAUACGUCGCAACUGUAGCCAGAAUUGAAUUUUGUAUCUAUACUAGAAGAUCCUUACUCAUAACCAUAAUCGUAGACCUUACCUGAACUGUAACUCUUACCCUAACUGUAACUCUUACCCGAACCGUAACUCUUACCCUAACCGUAACUCUUACCCCUAACCAUAACUCUUACCCUAAUCGUAACCCUUACCCAAACCGUAACCCUUACCCUAACCGUAGACCUUACCCGAACUGUAACUGUUACCUGAACCGUAACUCUAACCCGAACCGUAACUCUUACCCGAACCAUAACUCUUACCCAAACCGUAACCCUUACCCUAACUGUAACUGUUACCCGAACCGUAACUCUAACCCGAACCGUAACUCUUACCCGAACCGUAACUCUUACCCGAACCGUAGACCUUACCCUAACCGUAACUCUUACCCGAACCGUAACUCUUACCCGAACCGUAGACCUUACCCUAACAGUAACUCUUACCCGAACCGUAACUCUUACCCGAACCGUAGACCUUACCCUAACCGUAACUCUCACCCGAACCGUAACUCUUACCCUAACUGAAACCCCAGCCUCAAAUAUUAAUUCCUUUCAGUUCAGUAUUGUCCGGGUUGUCUCUCAUCUGACGGAUCACCUGACUAAUCAGCUGCAUCUGUCUUUUGAUCAGAGUUGGGUAAUUCCAGGCCUUCAGGGCUGCUGUUUCUGCAUAUUUUCUAGAUGUCUUCUAGAUGCCUGGAUCAGGUGUGUUGAGGUGAUUAGAACAUACCAGAGAAGAGCAUGUUGAAAAAAAACAAGCAGGAAUUCGUCCCUCUGUACCCCACCCCCGUUCUGGAAGGUUGGGUAUGUACAAAAACUGUUGGCACGAAGGACAAAAACAGAACAAUCCCACUUAGAAAAAUAUCUGAAGACCGUAAUCUUUUCAGUUCGUCAUUUUUGAAAUAGCUGACAGGUUUGCUUCUGUUUUACACCUCCAAACAUUAUGAUUAAAAAGAAUGUUAAUUUUUAAAUUACUUUUUUUGUUGCGCCACUAAUGUUUUAUUGGGGUUGUAAGCUAGCGGGAGAGCGUGUAAACAGAUAGAUGAUGG